rnacentral:snRNA from 1 species
GGAUGUGAGGGUGAUCUGGCUGCAACAUCUGUCACCCCAUUGAUCCCAAGGUUGAUUCGGCUGAUCUGGCUGGCUAGGUGGGUGUCCCCUCCCUCCCUCACCGCUCCCUGUGCGUCCCUCCCGAAGCUGCGUGCUCGUCAAGAGGACAGACUUCCCCGAAUAGAGAUAGACCAGUCUUCAGUCAAGGGUAUACGAGUUGCUGCGCUCCUCUGCUAGAACCUCCAAACAAGCUCUCAAAGUCCAUAAUUGGAUCAAGAAGACUUUUAAAAUUAAUAAGAUAUGGAAGAAAGUCUAAAAAUAUGAACUGCACACUAGAGAAGUAUGGGAUGAUUG